rnacentral:tRNA from 1 species
GGGGGUUUAGCUCAGCGGUAGAGCACUUGCCUAGCAAGCGCAAGGCCCUGGGUUCGAUCCCCAGCUCCA